rnacentral:lncRNA from 1 species
ACAUCUUCAGACUUUAUAUCCAACCAUACAGUAUUAUUUCAUUACAUGUAUUCAGUGCUUGUGUGUACCAUAUCCUGAGUCGAGAUCUGAGAUUCUCCUUUUUAAUAAUAUGUUUAUUUUACAUACAUUUUACUUGGGAUGUGUAUCUGUGUAAGGGUUGUCAGAUGCUCUGGAACUAAAAUUACAAGACAGUUGUGAGCUGCCAUGUGGGAGCUGGGAAUUGAAGCCAGGUCCGCUGGAAGAACAGUUGGUGUUCUUUUUUUUUUUUUUUUUGUAUUUUUCCCUGAGACGGGGUGUCUCUGUAUAGCCCUGGCUGUCCACCUGCCUCUGCCUCCCAAGCGCUGGGAUUAAAGGUGUGCACCACCACUGCCCGUCCAGUCGGUGCUCUUAACUGCUGAGCCAACUCUGUCUAGCCUAGAGGUUCUCUCCCUCUAUCAUGAAGGUUCUAGGGAACUCAAGGCCUCCGGCUUGGCAGCAAGCACCUUUAUCUGUUGAGCCAUCUCACCUGACCUUUCGAAUGAUUCAAUCUUCAUAAUUCCAUGGAAAUGUAAUUUCUACCAGUUCUUGACAUAAGAAACCUGAGGCUCAGUGAUGUUAAAUAAUUUUCCCAGGUUACACAGCUGCUAAGUGGAAACUGCACAGAGAGAGAGAGAGAGAGAGAGAGAGAGAGAGAGAGAGAGAGAGAGAGACACUCCUGGUUCCCCAGAGGUGGGCAGUGACAUUAAGGGCUUGGAGACUUCCAAGGGGUGAGUAGUUUGGGGAGGCUUCCUGGCUGAGGUGGGUCCGUUGGCAUCAUUAAAAAAGAAAUAAGGUUCGUGGGAAGGGAGAGACUUGGGAGUGUUUCUGGAGGUUGUGUGGGAAGUAACUAGGGAGGCUUGCGAGUUAGGCAUUCUGGAGAGCAAUGGGUACGUGUGGCCACCAGGUGGCGCCGCAGGACUCCUUUGCCUCCCAUUGGUCUGGAGGGCCAGGGCUCAAGUCUGACUCCUUGUGGACCCGGUGCUCCAUGCUCAGCCCUGCACAGUUCAGGCACCCAGCCGGCCCUCCGGUUUUUGGCAUGGCAUCUAACACGUGGAAGACAGGAAAUCUUGAUACCAGUCUAUUCCAGAUUCAGAAUGGAAACCCAAAAUAGAGCCCCCCUCCCCAAACAGCAUACUCUGCCUUCCUGUCCUGUGCCUUCCUGAGUCCCUUAGAGAUACUGUUUAGGGAAAUUGUUAAGGAUACAAGCAUUGUGUGCAGCUGGCUGUGUCUGCAUGGAAAUAAUAAUUACCUAAUAAAGAUGUAAAAGUUUUC